AAGAGAAGAGAUUAGAGAUCCACACACACAGUACUCAUUAUUACCAUUCACUUUCACUGGCGGCCAACUCCAAAACCCUCCUUUUCUUUUGAAUUCUGAUAUUAUUCUUGACUUGGGUUUUCCUUUGAUGCCAUAUUUGACUCCUUCGUAUUCUAAUGGCUACUUCUACUCCCGAUAAUGAAGUUCCCAACGCUUCUCCCAUCCCCAAAGAAGUAGAGAAGCCUCCGAUUGAGCCCAUAAGGUUGCCCACUGUUGAGGAAAUUCGCGGCCAAGACAUUUGGAACAACUGUGCUGUUCGUAGUGUCUUUAGUGGAGUCAUGGGUGGCGCUCUUGGGUUGGCCAUGGGUUUGUUUAUAGGUUCUCUAGAUAAUCCUAUAACUCGAGAUGAGAUGAGUGGUAAGCAGCAAUUUGUUUAUCAGGCAAAGCAGAUGGGGCGCAGGAGCUGGAGUUCUGCAAAGGCAUUUGCUGUUAUGGGAUUUGUUUUCUCUGCGUCUAGAUAAGCAAACUUUACAAUAUAAACUUAGCAAGAGAAAAGUAAUUCAUUACACAAAAAAAAAAGAUAAUCACAAUUCACAAAUUGCAUAUACUGUGUAACCCAUUUAUUCUUUUUAUUUUUCUCUUUCACAACAACAAAAUAAUAUAUACACAAAACCCAACCAAAUUAUCUAAAUGAAAAUGUAUGAUAUUUAAUUAAAACUACAAAUCUCUUCUGCAAAUCCAAGUUUAGAGCCUUUAGUAUCAUAAAUAACCCUUUGAUUCUUCUGUUGAUAAUUUCCAAUAAUACCAAUUUCUUCUUCAUAAGCCAAACUUGCCAAAGCCAAACAAAUCUGAGAAGCAUCAGUUUUAACCAUAUACAAAACACCAGUCACAUCAAUACUCAACUCAGCAGCAUUUCCAUCAAACUGCAUUUUCAAUGUUGGAAGGUUGAUUUGAUCAUACCCACUCAGAUUGAAACACGUGUCCAAUAUUGAAAAUCCAGGUGCUGAAGGAAACCCAGAAAAUUGUUUCACAAACUCUUCUUUCACAAUCUUGUAAACUGAUGGAGCUAGCCUUGUUAUGACUGUACCAGAAUCAAUCAAAAUCCCACCUUUACCAAAAGAAUUAUUAGAAGAAGAAUUUGAAAGUGAUAAUGCCACUCCACCAACACUAAUUCCAGUCAUGUUGAGAAAAUAGAAAGUGGGCAGUUGUGGAUUUUGUACCAUUUUGGUAAAUAAAAUUGGUGUUGAAUUUUUGUAAGUAGAUGAGUCAAAUCCCAUAACUAAUGAGCCUGAAGCAUUAGGCUCUGUACUUGAAGGUAAACAAUAAGAGAAAACUCCUUUAAACAAUGAAUCAGUUUGAGAAAUUAAUGAGAGAUCACUUCUUCCUAACCCCAUUAGUCCUGAGGCUCCACCAAACAAGCCCUUGUUGUUUCUACCACACCCGAAAACAAAGCCAUUUACAGGAGUUGUUCCGAGUUUGAGAUGUUCACUACCAAUUUCACCACUUGUGUAUGAUCCAUCGCCAUAGCUAACCAAGAUUGAGGUUUAUUGAAGUUUAGGAGGCUCCACCUCUUCUUCAUCGAGUUAUGGCCCGUUUUGGAAGUGUAAGAGCUCCAACACACAUACAUAUAUGUUUUUGUAUAAAUAUAUUUUUGAGUUCAAGGCUGUCUUUGGUUUUCCAGGAAAAUAUGUAUUUUCUUAGCAACCAAACAGAGUUAAUAUAGCUGUAAUGGACUAUGAUUAGGGCUUUAUAAUGCGUUCAUGCUCUGAAAACAGUUUGAUGAUGAAUUGUUUCUUGUUUUUCUUAA